rnacentral:lncRNA from 1 species
GCCCCACACAACACACAGGGCGGCUUGUCUCCAGCGGUAUAGCCUCUCCACACCCCCAAACCGUUUGCUCGAAACUUGAUCUCCUUGGCCCUCAGAGUCACCUCAGUGGAGAAGCCUGCACAGGGCUUUGAUGGCUGAGUUUCCCCAGAUGUGGCCUUAGAGAAGCUGAGGAACCCCCUACUUACCUCCAUUUGUCCCCAUCCAUCACUCCCAGGGGGCCACUGCCUGAUGAAUUGCCAGAGGGGAACCACCAGCUCGGCUCUUAAUAACCGGAUCUGCAUCCUGCUGCUGCCCAGCUGGGCUGAGGGCCCUGACCACAGCUAAGGGGAGUCAUCACAGGGCUUCAGGGCUGGAAUUCCAGUGCUGCAGGAUGAGUGGCGCUGGUCUCGGGAUCCGCAGAGUCUACAGGGCCCUGGGCUUGGACACCGUCUCAGGGGUUUGUGCCUUCAGAGCCUGGUGGAGCAGCCAAGCAACUGGGCACAUGAAGACAAAGUGCUUGGUGCUGGAGCCCGGAGCAGGAGGCCAAGAGAGGAACGGAGUGCCAUCCAAUGGCACUGGCGUGGCAGACAGGAUCACAGUUACUACUCAUGGCAGAAAGCUUCAAAGUAGCCAGGCCCCUCGGUGGAAGGAAGAGACGAGGCUUCUAAUUUUGUUUUUACUACUUACUAGCUGAGUGACCACAAAUGCAGCCUGUUGGAACUCAGAAAAUAACACCCGAAAAUGAAAGCCUCAGAAGCAAAAGUGACCUUCUAGCCUUCUCCUGCCCUCCUGUGUCUCAGGCCCGUUUUCCCCCAAGGACGGACAUAGAAAAGAGAAUCCCUCCUCCUCAAGGCGGGUUAUAGAAAUCAAAACCCCUUUUCCCCAAAGCUAGCCAUAAAGCCUACAAACUCUAACUUUCCCCAAUUUCUGUGUAAAAACUGGCCACAAAUAAAUUCUCAGGCCUAGGUGGGGCAUGGUGGCUCACACCUAUAAUCCCAGCACUUUGGGAGGCCGAGUCGGGUGUAUCAUUUGAGGUCAGGAGUUCAAGACCAGCAUGGCCGACAUUAUGAAACCCCGUCUCUAUUAAAAAUACAAAAAUUAGCCAGGCAGUAGUGGUGUACACUUGUAAUCCCAGCUACUUGGGAGGCUGAGGCAGGAGAAUCGCUUCAACCUGGAAGACGGAGGUUACAGUGAGCCGAGAACGCUCCACUGCACACCAAUCUGGGCGAGAGAGCGAGACUCUGUCUCUAAAAAAAAAAAAAACAAAAAAAAUUCUCAGGCCUACCUUGUUUGAUUGUAGGUCAGACCUCCAUUCCAGAAAGUCCUGCCCCAUACCCACACCCAGAAGGAAGAAAUGCAUGCUCAGAGGGGCCAGGAAGAAAUCCAGAGAGACAGGCCUUGCUGGGUGUCCCCACUCCGUCUAUUCACAUUCGAUCAUUGCCCUUUUUGUCCAGUCAUAUCGCUACACAGCUGUCCAUGUGUCCUUGAAACUCAGCAUAAAAGUGGACAAUUUUCCCUGUAUCUCUGGGUCCUUGUUCUGAAGGCUCCUGUGUACAUGUUAAUAAGGUGUACACCUUUCCUCCUAUUCACCUGCCUCUUGUUGGUGAUUUCUAGCCAACCUUCAGAGGGUGGUGGGGAAGCUUUCCCCUGGCCGCUGCAAGCCCCUCCGUGUUCGGGGUUCCAGUUUUCCCAUUUGUGUGACGGAGGGAGACUGGCUGCCAUUCUUCCCUUUGCUGGUCUGAGCCUGUGAUCCUGUUGCCCUGUGGGCCUCUGGCACUGUGGACUUGAAGGGAAGGGAGUGGGAAGUGGGCCUGGGGUGACGUACCCCUGCGGGGGAAGGGAGGCUGCUGCAGGGGGCUGGGUGCUGAAGGCCCAGGGUGGAGCAGUGAUGAUCGCAUGAUCACCUAAUCGCAGUGGCCCAGGAGUCAGGAGAUCAGAGGUCUAUCCCUUCACUAGCCACGUGCUCUCUCUGCACCUCAG